rnacentral:rRNA from 1 species
AUUGAACGCUGGCGGCAGGCCUAACACAUGCAAGUCGAGCGGAGCGCCGGUCGGGGGAGGAAUGCCUAGGAAUCGGCCUGGUAGUGGGGGAGAACGUCAGGAAAUGGGCGCUAAUACUACAUACUAUCGCAUUCGCCUAGGUCGGGUUAGCAUGUGGGUGUGGUAAGGGCCUACCAUGGCCACGAUCCGUAACUGGACUGAGAGGAUGAUCAGUCACACUGGAACUGAGACACGGUCCAGACUCCUACGGGAGGCAGCAGUGGGGAAUAUUGGACAAUGGGAGAAAGCCUGAUCCAGCCAUGCCGCGUGUGUGAAGAAGGUCUUCGGAUUGUAAAGCACUUUAAGUUGGGAGGCGUUACCAACAGAAUAAGCACCGGCUAACUUCGUGCCAGCAGCCGCGGUAAUUC